AGGUUCAGAGCUCUUUCUGGUGGGUCUAGAUGACCCACUCCCAAUGUUAAAGUGCCUAGGAUAGCACAAGGGUUAAAAGCGCGCAGACUGCAUGAUUCCUAGCUGAUCAAAUAUUCUGAACAGCUCCAAACCGAAUUCACGGAAAGACCCGUCGGCUGUAACCCUCGAUGGACAUCUGAGCACAUCGACGCCUAAAGCGCUUCACAGUCGCAGUCCCCUUCAUCCAUUCACACACUCUCCGCUGGCUUCAGUGUCUUGCCCUAGGACACUUCUACACAUGGGCGGCAAAGCGGCAUUCGAACCUGCAAGCCUUCCGAUCAGAGGGGGAUCCCGCUGCACCACAGCUGUGAAAGUCCAAAAUUCUAUAUGUAGAGCAUGCGUAGAAUGUACGCAGUGGCUGUGUGACCCGGCCUUUAGCUGCACAUUUUGAUUUUGUUCUUAACUGGUUUAUGCAAAUAAAGAUAAAAACAAA